rnacentral:lncRNA from 1 species
GUGGACACUUGCGGCUGUGUUCUGGAAGCAAGGUCAUUUCUGUUCCAUCCCAUUACACAAUUCAUGUGCUUAGAUUAGAAGAUUCAGUCCAGAUCCCACCCAAAGGGACAAGCAUUUCUGAAGGGCCAAGCACACGGGUCUGCACUCCAUGAGCUGGCAGCAGGCAGGCAGCCAUGUAGGGCCAGGGGACCCAGGGCGCAGGAACCCCAGCUCCCUCCAGUCCUCCAG